GGGUUGUGAGGUUAAGCGACUAAGCGUACACGGUGGAUGCCCUGGCAGUCAGAGGCGAUGAAGGGCGUGCUAAUCUGCGAUAAGCGCCGGUAAGGUGAUAUGAACCGUUAUAACCGGCGAUACCCGAAUGGGGAAACCCAGUGUGACUCGUCACACUAUCAUUAACUGAAUCCAUAGGUUAAUGAGGCGAACCGGGGGAACUGAAACAUCUAAGUACCCCGAGGAAAAGAAAUCAACCGAGAUUCCCCCAGUAGCGGCGAGCGAACGGGGAGGAGCCCAGAGCCUGAAUCAGCAUGUGUGUUAGUGGAAGCGUCUGGAAAGACGCGCGAUACAGGGUGACAGCCCCGUACACAAAAGCGCAUGUGCUGUGAGCUCGAUGAGUAGGGCGGGACACGUGGUAUCCUGUCUGAAUAUGGGGGGACCAUCCUCCAAGGCUAAAUACUCCUGACUGACCGAUAGUGAACCAGUACCGUGAGGGAAAGGCGAAAAGAACCCCGGCGAGGGGAGUGAAAAAGAACCUGAAACCGUGUACGUACAAGCAGUGGGAGCACCCUUUGGGGUGUGACUGCGUACCUUUUGUAUAAUGGGUCAGCGACUUAUAUUCUGUAGCAAGGUUAACCGUAUAGGGGAGCCGUAGGGAAACCGAGUCUUAACCGGGCGUUAAGUUGCAGGGUAUAGACCCGAAACCCGGUGAUCUAGCCAUGGGCAGGUUGAAGGUUGGGUAACACUAACUGGAGGACCGAACCGACUAAUGUUGAAAAAUUAGCGGAUGACCUGUGGCUGGGGGUGAAAGGCCAAUCAAACCGGGAGAUAGCUGGUUCUCCCCGAAAGCUAUUUAGGUAGCGCCUCGUGAAUUCAUCUCCGGGGGUAGAGCACUGUUUCGGCUAGGGGGCCAUCCCGGCUUACCAACCCGAUGCAAACUGCGAAUACCGGAGAAUGUUAUCACGGGAGACACACGGCGGGUGCUAACGUCCGUCGUGAAGAGGGAAACAACCCAGACCGCCAGCUAAGGUCCCAAAGUCAUGGUUAAGUGGGAAACGAUGUGGGAAGGCCCAGACAGCCAGGAUGUUGGCUUAGAAGCAGCCAUCAUUUAAAGAAAGCGUAAUAGCUCACUGGUCGAGUCGGCCUGCGCGGAAGAUGUAACGGGGCUAAACCAUGCACCGAAGCUGCGGCAGCGAACGUAUCACUUAAAGCGAUUCAGCGGGUUACGAUUGACGGAGCGAAGCGACGUCAAAGCGUAUACAAAGUCGAGUCGGUUUAAGGAUACGUUCGUUGGGUAGGGGAGCGUUCUGUAAGCCUGUGAAGGUGGCCUGUGAGGGUUGCUGGAGGUAUCAGAAGUGCGAAUGCUGACAUAAGUAACGAUAAAGCGGGUGAAAAGCCCGCUCGCCGGAAGACCAAGGGUUCCUGUCCAACGUUAAUCGGGGCAGGGUGAGUCGACCCCUAAGGCGAGGCCGAAAGGCGUAGUCGAUGGGAAACAGGUUAAUAUUCCUGUACUUGGUGUUACUGCGAAGGGGGGACGGAGAAGGCUAUGUUGGCCGGGCGACGGUUGUCCCGGUUUAAGCGUGUAGGUGUGUGUUCCAGGUAAAUCCGGUUCACUUUAACACUGAGGCGUGAUGACGAGGCACUACGGUGCUGAAGCAACAAAUGCCCUGCUUCCAGGAAAAGCCUCUAAGCAUCAGGUAACAUCAAAUCGUACCCCAAACCGACACAGGUGGUCAGGUAGAGAAUACCAAGGCGCUUGAGAGAACUCGGGUGAAGGAACUAGGCAAAAUGGUGCCGUAACUUCGGGAGAAGGCACGCUGACACGUAGGUGAAGUGAUUUACUCAUGGAGCUGAAGUCAGUCGAAGAUACCAGCUGGCUGCAACUGUUUAUUAAAAACACAGCACUGUGCAAACACGAAAGUGGACGUAUACGGUGUGACGCCUGCCCGGUGCCGGAAGGUUAAUUGAUGGGGUCAGCGCAAGCGAAGCUCCUGAUCGAAGCCCCGGUAAACGGCGGCCGUAACUAUAACGGUCCUAAGGUAGCGAAAUUCCUUGUCGGGUAAGUUCCGACCUGCACGAAUGGCGUAAUGAUGGCCAGGCUGUCUCCACCCGAGACUCAGUGAAAUUGAACUCGCUGUGAAGAUGCAGUGUACCCGCGGCAAGACGGAAAGACCCCGUGAACCUUUACUAUAGCUUGACACUGAACAUUGAGCCUUGAUGUGUAGGAUAGGUGGGAGGCUUUGAAGCGUGGACGCCAGUCUGCGUGGAGCCGACCUUGAAAUACCACCCUUUAAUGUUUGAUGUUCUAACGUGGACCCGUAAUCCGGGUUGCGGACAGUGUCUGGUGGGUAGUUUGACUGGGGCGGUCUCCUCCUAAAGAGUAACGGAGGAGCACGAAGGUUGGCUAAUCCUGGUCGGACAUCAGGAGGUUAGUGCAAUGGCAUAAGCCAGCUUGACUGCGAGCGUGACGGCGCGAGCAGGUGCGAAAGCAGGUCAUAGUGAUCCGGUGGUUCUGAAUGGAAGGGCCAUCGCUCAACGGAUAAAAGGUACUCCGGGGAUAACAGGCUGAUACCGCCCAAGAGUUCAUAUCGACGGCGGUGUUUGGCACCUCGAUGUCGGCUCAUCACAUCCUGGGGCUGAAGUAGGUCCCAAGGGUAUGGCUGUUCGCCAUUUAAAGUGGUACGCGAGCUGGGUUUAGAACGUCGUGAGACAGUUCGGUCCCUAUCUGCCGUGGGCGCUGGAGAACUGAGGGGGGCUGCUCCUAGUACGAGAGGACCGGAGUGGACGCAUCACUGGUGUUCGGGUUGUCAUGCCAAUGGCACUGCCCGGUAGCUAAAUGCGGAAGAGAUAAGUGCUGAAAGCAUCUAAGCACGAAACUUGCCCCGAGAUGAGUUCUCCCUGAGACUUAGAGUCUCCUGAAGGAACGUUGAAGACGACGACGUUGAUAGGCCGGGUGUGUAAGCGCAGCGAUGCGUUGAGCUAACCGGUACUAAUGAACCGUGAGGCUUAACCUUACAACGCCGAAG
rnacentral:rRNA from 1 species